GAAAUUAUUCAACAACACAUUUCCCUGAAUAGCACUUGGAAGACAAUAACUGUGUAAUGGCAUUAUUUGUCACAUAUUUUUCUGGAUCCUCAUUUUUUUUAGAUAUUCUUGAGUCCAUGUCAGCCAAUGGAUAAAAUUCAGGAGUUAUCAACGGAAUGAAGUCCAAUCUACGAUCUCCAGGUUAUAAAAAUCAUAGACCUAAAUGGAUCCUUUAAUAGAGGAAGAGAAAUGUGAAUUUAAAAAGAAGAAAAUACGACACAAAGGAAUACUGUUGCCGUGGUGCCAGCAUUUUCAAGAUCCCUAGUGGCAACAGUCACCUUCCAGUCCCCGUCUGCAAAGGAAAAAAUGAAAUCAAUAUGAAGCAAUGAAGGA
ensembl:lncRNA